CGGGAAUCCUCCCUCCCCCGCCCCUCCCGAAGCCGGGCCCCGGCGUCAGGCCCGGCCCCAGGGGGGAACCCCCGGCCUCGGCUCCCCCUCCCCGCGGCCUCUGCCCGUCUUCCUGACCCUUGGGGGCCGGGAAGACCCCGCCGGCAGGGGCCGGGACCCACCGCUCAUUACGACAUCUUCCUCCCUGGCCUCCGCCGCCUCCGCCGCCACCGAGAGCCUGACACCGCCCGCCUAGCACCCGCCAAUCCCGGAGCCCGCCACCGCCCGAGCGACGGCAGCCUUCACCAAUAAGCGCUUGGAACAUUGGGGACCGACAGCAUUACUAACCAAUCAACCAGAGGCGUCUAGAGCGACGUUGACUUGGCCAAUAGGUUUAUGCAAUGUCACUGAUCGACGGUAAAACCCACCAACCGGAAGCCAAUUGAAGAAUGAACGACAUGUUCACCAGCCAAUUGGAGGGAGUCAAAGUCCCGCCUACUGGGUGGUUGAUGGACAGCAACAGGAAGCUGGAAGGGGAGGGGCUUAUCCUAGGAGUGCUUUUGUAUUGGUCGUGGUUGACCUUCCACCCACCUCUAACCCAGAGGAUGAGUGAUAGAUUUGCCCUGAAGCCAAUCAGAAGUCAUUAGGGUGAGGCCCACAAAUGCCUCAUAAACAGCGUAUACAUUGCGCCUUAAGCCCACUCUCUCCCAGGUGUGCCAGGAGCUUUCACGGGCUCUUCGGCAGUAGCCGGCUGCCACUCAACCCUAUGCUUGGCAGGUUCCUCGGGCCGCUUCUUCUAAUUCGACUUGGUACUUCACGGGUCGUGCCUAGAAUCUGCAUUUUAACAAGGGCCUCCCGUAGACAUAAUUGCACGCUCGAGUUUGAGAUGCACUCUCCCGGGGCUACGCCAGUCAGAGCGUCACUUCUGAAGAGGAAAAAAAAAAAAAAAAGAAGAAGCACUGCUUGGCCCACUUGCCCUUACCUCGAAAUGAGGUAAAGCACUUGGCCGGUUGCCUCGCCCGGAGGCCGGACACAUCCACUUCUGCACUCAGCACCUGACUCUGCACCCGGCACCAGGCUCUGCAUUCGGCACGAAGCUCUGCUGGAUGGCUCCCCUGGAAGGCUCCGGCUGAUGCAACCCUGGCAGUCUCUCGCACCGGAAAACCCGCCCAACCCGCCAACCAAUGGCAGCCCGCCCCGUCCCAAUCCCGCUCCCCUGGAGCCAAUCAGAAUACCCAGCUGUUGCUCGUUCCUCAUAGCCAUAACCCCCUCCCCCAGGAAGUUGGCGCGACUUCUCCUGGCCCUUGUGUCCGACUGUAGAACCUCGCCCAGGAGCCAAUUAAAUUUCUUUAUUUGAAUAACUGACCUCAGUUGCCUCAUUCGAACCUCAGUUGCCUCAUUCAAACCUUACAAUUCUCACUUCUGAGUCUCCUGCUAGAUUGAGCUGUGGUAGAAGGAUUGAGGCCAGUACAGAGGAGGAUCAGCAGGAAAAUUAGACAGGUAUGGUGGUGUUGCGCUUGUAGUACCAGCUAUUUGAGUGGCUGAGAUGGGAGGAUGACUUGAGCCCAGGAGGCUGACGCUGCAGUGAGCCGGGAUCACACCAUUGGACUCCAGCCUGGGUGACAGAGUGAGACCCUGUCUUAAAAAAAAAAUUUGAAAUAAAAAAAUGUCACCUGUCCUGGGAAUUCUCUCCCUUAUGCUUCCAUGUCUCCCUGGCUUCCUUUGGGUGAUCUGUCUACUUGUGAAAAUCUUUCUGGAGUGGAGAGGUGGACGUGCCUCCCCCCUGCUGCCUCCUCCCCUGCCAGCAGUCAGCUUCCUGUGCUCAGUGCAGGGAGCAGAUCUAGAGGAGACCCUGUCAGGGAGUGGUGGUCAGAUAGGGGAGGCGUAGUUCUUGACCACAGAGAUUUCUCAGCCUGAGUGGGAAGACAGAAUACAUCCCUGAUUCAUCAGGAGAGACCAGAAACAAGGGCAGACAGCAAAUGAGUGGAAUUGUUGAGGUAGUGCUGGGAGAACGGGAAGAAGAUACAGGGAAGGGGCUGAGUGAAGUUACAGGGGAAAAGCUUCCUAGAGGAGAAUCUGAAAUGAUUUCGCAGAUGGUUGGGGAAGAGGCCAGUAAAUGCCAUUUACCCCCAAACUAUGCCCAUUCACCGGAAGAAGAAGCCGCCUAGGACUUCACUGUAAUCUGAGCCAAGAUUGCAGAUCACCCCCUUUUUCCCAGGCUCGGGUGUGUGUGCUCCUAUAAGGUGCCAGCAAUGGGGCGGGGCCGUGGGAGUGGGAAACAUUUCGUUUUUGUAACAUUGGCUGGCUCCUUGGCCCAUGGAUGACCCAAAGUUGCUUAAAUGAAAAAGAGAGGGGCGAGUUGAGCAGGUCCCAGUCUGGGUCUGGCCACCGUGAGUCAGGGAGCCGGGCAGUCUGAUCCCAUGAGCCAAAUCCCUGACUCUCUGGGGGCUUUAAAGGCUCUGAGUGUCCGGCCUCAAAGCCACUGACAGGUAUGGAUCUGCCCCCUCCCUGACUCCCUCUGCUUCCUGCCCUUUUGGUGCUCCCUGACCUCUGACCCUGGGGCCCAAGGAACCCAUUCUCUGUGUAAGGCUGAGUCAUGUCUGCCCCCGCACAGAGAUUUGGGGUAGACCCCGGUAAAGAUGGCAGAAUGAAGGGGCACUCGCAGACAGACACAGGGCAGAGAGAGGGAACUGAAGGAAUCAAGGAAAUCAGAGAACCCCUUGUUUCCCAGCUGAUGGGAGACGGGGCUAUUCCUGGUGGUCCCUCCAGCAGCCACAGUGGAUUUUAACCCUUCAUUAGAGGGUGACAGGAGCAGAUUUGUGAAAGUGUGGGUGGGUGAGGAGAAGAUGGAGGUGGAGACAACAGAGCAAUUAAGAUGGGUCCCCAAAGAUCCCUUUAUUUGAGUGCUAGUUGCUGGUAGAGGAAGUAAAUUUGAAGGAAACAUGUCAGGGGCAGCCCCCUUCAGCUCUGGGUCUGACCCCUCAGGGACAUCAUGGGGUCCCCCAUCAAUCCCUGCUCUGGAUAGACCCAAGCCCCAAGCUGGGCCAGCCCAGGGUGUCUCCUCGGGGGCUUUCCAAGUCAAGGCAUUUGAAGUAUCCACCUUCUCAAGGACACCCUGUUUUGUUGGGGGAGAGAGAGUGUGUGUCUAUUGAGCCUCUGGACACUCUCCUCUGGCCCAUGGGAGCUGGCACCGUCUGACCACCUGGGGGAGGCUUGGAGCCUGGCUGAGCCCCAGUCUUAGGAGGGAGGGAAGAGGGUGGUGAGGGAGUGGGAUGUCUCUUCCGCCUGGCAGAUUAGUGACUCUGAGACAGGAGAGGGCCUGUCACUGGGCCCAUAAAUAAAGCAGCCGAGUCUCUCCCUCCAUCUGUGUUUAUCUGUCUGGCCUUGAGUUUCCGGGAGAGGAGAUGUCUUGGCACCCCCCACCAUCAAACGCCAAGUGCUGGAGGGGAGGAGGGGCAGCCUCCUUCCCUUCACCUUCCCUCUCAACCUCUAUUCCUGCUUCCUCAAAUCUCAUCCUCUCAGGCCCUCUCUCUUCAGCCUAGACACUGACUCCAGGAAGCCCUCUGAGACCAGGGGUGGGGGCUAGAGUGAGGAGUGUGGUCUGGGGUCUCUGACACAUUUCCCCAUUGGUGACCACACUUUGUAGACUCAGGAGAAGAUGCCCUGAGGCCUGGAGAGAGAUGAAAGGUGGGAAUCAACAGGGUGCUGGGAGGCCUGAGUAUAGAAGACCCUCUGCUCACAGGGAAGGGUCCAGGGAGGCCCCGAGUGAUGGUGAAGGGCCAGGGAGGACCUGUAGGCAGAGAGAGCCUGGUGACUCCCCAGCCCCCCUCAGGGUGGGGGCAGAAGACCAUGAGGAGAAGACCCUGCCUGUCACCUCCUACCUUGGCCGCCUCUUCUCGACAGCACCUCCCUCCAUCUUUCUACCUCAAUGGAUUCCUGAAACUCCAGGCUGUUCUUAGAACAUAGAAUCUGCCACCAGGGCUUUUCAAAGUGUGGUCACCUGGUCAGGAGUUCGACAGCUGUCUGGCCAACGUGACAAAACCCCAUCUCUACUAAAGAUACAAAAAAAAAAAAAAAGUGUGGUCACUAGACCACUUACAGCUACAUCACUGGGACGGGGAAGGGGAAAAAUGCUUGUUUCAAUGCAGAUUCCUGGGCCCGCAUAGACUCACUGGAUCAAAAGAGGCUUGGGGACUUGGGUUUUUGUGGGGUUUUUUGUUUGUUUGUUUCUGUUUUGAGAUGGAAUUUCACUCUUGCUGCCCAAGCUGGAGUGCAAUGCUUCCAUCCUGGCUCACUGUAACCUCUCCCUCCUGGGUUCAGGCAAUUCUCCUGCCUCAGCCUCCCAAAUAGCUGGGAUUACAAGCAUGUGCCCGGUUAAUUUUUGUAUUUUUAGUAGAGAUGGGUUUCACCACGUUGACCAGGCUGGUCUCAAACUCCUGACCUCAGGUGAUCUGCCCACCUUGGCCGCCCAGAGGGCUGGGAUUAUAAGCAUGAGCACAUUGCUGGGCUGGGGACUUGGGUGUUAAUGACUAUCCAAGGUGAUGCCGGUGUAAUUCAAGCUUGAGAAACACCUGUUGUUCUACAUGAAGGCAGCCGCUCUUGUUCACCUCAUCCCUACUACCCAGCUCAGAGCCCAGGACAUAGAAAGUGUUCAGUAAACAUCCACUGAUUGAAUGCAUUUCUUUCUUUCUUUUUUUUUGAGACGAAGUUUCGCUGUUGUUACCCAGCCUGGAGUGCAAUGGCACUAUCUCGGCUCACUGCAACCUCCACCUCCUGGGUUCAGGCAAUUCUCCUGCCUCAGCCUACUGAGUAGCUGGGAUUAUAGGCACGCGCCACCAUGCCCAGCUAAUUCUUCGUAUUUUUAGUAGAGACGGGGUUUCACCUCAUUGACCAGGAUGGUCUCAAUCUCUUGACCUCAUGUUCCACCCGCCUUGGCCUCCCAAAGUGCUGGGAUUAUAGGCGUGAGCCACCGCGCCCGGCCUGAAUGCAUUUCUAGACAGUGUCUAUUCCUUUUUUCACUCCAGGUCUUCUCUUCUCCAACCACCCCAAAUCUACCAGAGGAUCCCAAGUCCCUACUUUAUGCUAAGGUGAUAAUAGCAGAAUGUGUCAGCCAGACCACAGUGGCACGUGUCUUUAAACAGAACAUGGUACUCACAGAAACACUCUAAUGGUAGGAAUUUUUUGGCAGCAGGGCAGGUUAGCGGGGAGUUUACUGGGAAAGGGGAGGCUCUCAGCUCUUCUCAGAGUCCACAGGAAUCACCUGCUUUACUCACCCUCAGGGAAUGACGGUGGGAUGCAGGAUGCCUGUGCUGAGGGCAAGGAAUGUCAGGACCCAGGGAAGGGGAAGAUCAGAGAGAAGGAAAAAGAUCGAAAGUGUGUGAAAGAAGAGACAGAGUUAAAGGAGGUCUAAGGGCAAAAGGAGAGCGCUGUUACACAACCCGGGUCAGUGGCCCUGGAAAGUUUUCAGAGGAUCAGGCAUCCUAGCCAGGAAUGCACAAGCAAGUCACUUCUUUCCAGCCUUGGUUUCCCUGAAAGUCCAUCUCUGGAAAAAGAGGUUCUUUCAGCCAUUGAGUCCUCUCCUGGCAUCAAGGCCAACUGGCAUUGCUGUUCAUUGCCUCUGCUCUGCAUUUGCAUUAAUUUGCUUGGGCUGGACCAACAAGUAUAUGCAAAUGGAUAUGAAGUGGUGGGGUCCCAGGGCAGGGAGUCUCCCUGAGGUGAAGAUGGAGCUGUGGAGGAGGGAUGCACAGGGAGAUACCUGCACUAGAGGGGCCCCCAGGCUUGCUCUGAUAGCCUUUCUGACUCCAUAGGGGAGAGGGUAGCCUAGGAUGUUGAGCUUUGGCACUGCAAGCCCCAGAAGGCCUUGCUGGGGGCUGGGGAACAAAGGACCCAGGCGUUCUGAGGGUGGUGAGGGCAGCUCUGAUGGUAUAGGGUAGAUGAGCAGGGUUCUCAAGCCUCCCAAAAAAGCAGACAGCCUCGGAGGCAGCCCCAGAUGGCAAAUAAUUGCCCUGAGGCCCUGAAGAGGGAUAAGGGUGGUGGGAAACUGGGAGAAGAGGAGGAGGCAGAUGCCAGGCUAGAGUUUUUGAGAAGAGAAGAAGCCAAAUCACUUCCGAAUGGGAGAGGGGAGAUGGCAAAGCUGCCUCCCUGGUGGUGGCAGGGGCCCAGAAAAGGGGGCAGAGGGAGCAGGGAGAUGAGAAAGCAGUCAGUGGAGACCUGGGAGAGGCAGCUGUCUGAGCCCCUCUCCCCUGUGGAAUGGCUCCUGCUGACCCCAGGCUUGAGGCAGGGGGAGGGGGCAGAGUCAUCAACGUUAGGGAAAAGUUUUAAUGGUGGAGACACAGUCCCACCCUAAUGGGGGCUCUCUGCUCUCAAGAGAGCUACAGUAUACUGGAAAAGACACAGCCCAUGUUCUUGGGAAGCCCCUAGUCUAACAGAAGAGACAGUCUCUGUCUUUAUCCUGGGUGCAAGUGGGGGCACAAUGAGGAUCCUACACACACUCUCCAAAUUACUUAGGAGCUCUCCAGCCCAUAUCGGCAAAGGCAAAAAUACAGGACCAGUGAGCACUUCCUAGACUUCCUCACUGCCCCAACAUCAGCAGCAACCAGAGGUCAGUGGGGCUAAUCCAGUAAGGCCUCCUGAAGGGAAUUGUUUUUUCUUCUUUUAGAGAGCUGGUCUUGCUCUGUUGUCCAGGCUAGACUCGAACUCCUGGGCUAGACUGGAAUUUCCAGGCUCAAGCAAUGCUUCUACCUCAGUCUCACAAAUAGCUGGGAUUACAGGCAUGUACUCCUUGCCUGGCUCCUAGAGUGAAUUUUGAGGAUGAUUUUGAAAAUGAGGCUGGGUGUGAUGGCUCAUACCUAUAAUCCCAUCACUCUGGGAGACCAAGGCAGGAGGAUCACUUGAGCCCAGGAGUUCGAGACCAGCCUGGGCAAUGUAAUGAGACCCAGCCUCUACAGAAAAACUUUUAAAAAAUUAGCUGGGUGUGGUGGUGCACCUGUACUCCUAGCUACUCAGGAGGGUGAGGUGGGAGGAUCACUUAAGCUGGGGAGAUUGAGGCUGCAGUGAGUUAUGAUCACUCCACUGCACUCCAGCCUGGGUGCAGAGUGAGACU